rnacentral:tRNA from 1 species
GCAGGGUAUGGUGUAAGUGGUAUUCUUGCACACCUCGCACAACAGAUGAUACCUCUUCUUAUCGUGUGAGAUAGUGGCGGUUCGAUUCCGCCUCCCUGCA